rnacentral:rRNA from 1 species
CACGUCGAGCGGUAACAGAGAGUAGCUUGCUACUUUGCUGACGAGCGGGGGACGGGUGAGUAAUGCUUGGGGAUCUGCCCGGUCGAGGGGGAUAACCGUUGGAAACGACGGCUAAUACCGCAUACGCCCUACGGGGGAAAGCAGGGGACCUUCUGGCCUUGCGCGAUUGGAUGAACCCAAGUGAGAUUAUCUUGUUGGUGAGGUAACGGCUCACCAAGGCGACAAUCUCUAGCUGGUCUGAGAGGAUGACCACUCACACUGGGACUGAGACACGGCCCAGACUCCUACGGGAGGCAGCAAUGGGGAAUAUUGCACAAUGGGGGAAACCCUGAUGCGCCCAUGCCGCGUGUGUGAAGAAAGCCUUCGGGUUGUAAAGCACUUUCAGUGGUGAGGAAAGGAGGUUGGCUAAUACCUGACCUCUGUGACGUUAACCACAGAAAAAGCACCGGCUAACUCCGUGCCAGCCGC